rnacentral:rRNA from 1 species
GUGGAUUAGAUACCCCGGUAGUCCACGCCGUAAACGUUGGGCGCUAGGUGUGGGGCUCUUUCCACGAGUUCCGUGCCGCAGCAAACGCAUUAAGCGCCCCGCCUGGGGAGUACGGCCGCAAGGCUAAAACUCAAAGGAAUUGACGGGGGCCCGCACAAGCGGCGGAGCAUGCGGAUUAAUUCGAUGCAACGCGAAGAACCUUACCAAGGCUUGACAUGGGCAGUAAUCCGGCAGAGAUGUCGGGUCCGUAAGGGCUGUUCACAGGUGGUGCACGGCCGUCGCCAACU